UUUUCCUACGGGGGGCAGCAGUGAGGAAUAUUGGUCAAUGGGCGAGAGCCUGAACCAGCCAAGUCGCGUGAAGGAUGACGGCCCUACGGGUUGUAAACUUCUUUUGUCAGGGAGCAAUUGGGUCCACGCGUGGGCUUAGCGAGAGUACCUGAAGAAAAAGCAUCGGCUAACUCCGUGCCAGCAGCCGCGGUAAUACGGAGGUGGCAAGCGUUGUCCGGAUUUAUUGGGCGUAAAGCGAGUGCAGGCGGGUCAAUAAGGCUGAUGUGAAAGCCUUCGG
rnacentral:rRNA from 1 species